rnacentral:rRNA from 1 species
CUGAUUAGAAGCUUGCUUCUAUGACGUUAGCGGCGGACGGGUGAGUAACACGUGGGCAACCUGCCUGUAAGACUGGGAUAACUUCGGGAAACCGAAGCUAAUACCGGAUAGGAUCUUCUCCUUCAUGGGAGAUGAUUGAAAGAUGGUUUCGGCUAUCACUUACAGAUGGGCCCGCGGUGCAUUAGCUAGUUGGUGAGGUAACGGCUCACCAAGGCAACGAUGCAUAGCCGACCUGAGAGGGUGAUCGGCCACACUGGGACUGAGACACGGCCCAGACUCCUACGGGAGGCAGCAGUAGGGAAUCUUCCGCAAUGGACGAAAGUCUGACGGAGCAACGCCGCGUGAGUGAUGAAGGCUUUCGGGUCGUAAAACUCUGUUGUUAGGGAAGAACAAGUACGAGAGUAACUGCUCGUACCUUGACGGUACCUAACCAGAAAGCCACGGCUAACUACGUGCCAGCAGCCGCGGUAAUACGUAGGUGGCAAGCGUUAUCCGGAAUUAUUGGGCGUAAAGCGCGCGCAGGCGGUUUCUUAAGUCUGAUGUGAAAGCCCACGGCUCAACCGUGGAGGGUCAUUGGAAACUGGGGAACUUGAGUGCAGAAGAGAAAAGCGGAAUUCCACGUGUAGCGGUGAAAUGCGUAGAGAUGUGGAGGA